CGAAAGCGUGGGGAGCGAACAGGAUUAGAUACCCUGGUAGUCCACGCCGUAAACGAUGAGUGCUAAGUGUUAGGGGGUUUCCGCCCCUUAGUGCUGCAGCUAACGCAUUAAGCACUCCGCCUGGGGAGUACGGUCGCAAGACUGAAACUCAAAGGAAUUGACGGGGGCCCGCACAAGCGGUGGAGCAUGUGGUUUAAUUCGAAGCAACGCGAAGAACCUUACCAGGUCUUGACAUCCUCUGACAAUCCUAGAGAUAGGACGUCCCCUUCGGGGGCAGAGUGACAGGUGGUGCAUGGUUGUCGUCAGCUCGUGUCGUGAGAUGUUGGGUUAAGUCCCGCAACGAGCGCAACCCUUGAUCUUAGUUGCCAGCAUUCAGUUGGGCACUCUAAGGUGACUGCCGGUGACAAACCGGAGGAAGGUGGGGGAUGACGUCAAAUCAUCAUGCCCCUUAUGACCUGGGCUACACACGUGCUACAAUGGACAGAACAAAGGGC
rnacentral:rRNA from 1 species